CAGAACAGCCUAACAGUGUGAGGUGUGGACAUGUUAACUAACGUGAUUGUGGUAAUCACAAUGUGUACCUCUAUCAAAUUAUCACAUUUUAUACCUUAAAUAUAUAUAAUUUUAUAUGUCAAUUAUAUAUCAAAGCUGAAAAGAAAGAAAAAAUGAGACACAAUUUUAAUCUUUAUAUACUGGGGACAGAUGUUUAUUUUAUAGACAUACACCUGAUUAUUUAAAAUUAAGUCUUCACUCAUGUUUCUUUUGAAUUAAUAAUCUAAAAAUGUAAAUGGAAAAUAAAUUAUGGUUGAAUUGUAUCUUCCAAAGGGAAAAUGACAUUUAAACUGUCAUAACCCUGAUAAGCAAAUAUUUAACUUUCCAACCAAUGGAUGAUAAAUCAGCUAUUUAUUUAACAGACUUUUAUAGUCAUGGCUUGGGAUUUUAUAGCCAUUUGGUUUUGAAUUAGGCUGA
rnacentral:lncRNA from 10 species